GACGAACGCUGGCGGCGUGCCUAAUACAUGCAAGUCGAGCGAAGUUUUUCUGGUGCUUGCACCGGAAAAACUUAGCGGCGACCGGGUGAGUAACACGUAAAGAACCUGCCUUAUAGACUGGGACAACUAUUGGAAACGAUAGCUAAUACCGGAUAACAGCAUUAACUGCAUGGUUGAUGUUUGAAAGUUGGUUUUGCUAACACUAUGAGAUGGCUUUGCGGUGCAUUAGCUAGUUGGUGGGGUAAAGGCCUACCAAGGCGACGAUGCAUAGCCGACCUGAGAGGGUGAUCGGCCACACUGGGACUGAGACACGGCCCAGACUCCUACGGGAGGCAGCAGUAGGGAAUCUUCCGCAAUGGGCGAAAGCCUGACGGAGCAACGCCGCGUGAGUGAAGAAGGAUUUCGGUUCGUAAAGCUCUGUUGUUAGGGAAGAAUGAUUGUGUAGUAACUAUACACAGUAGAGACGGUACCUAACCAGAAAGCCACGGCUAACUACGUG
rnacentral:rRNA from 1 species